rnacentral:lncRNA from 1 species
CCCUUUUCAGCCUCAUUCAGCCCCCCAUCCUGAGUGUACGGCACUUGUGCCGGCGACAACACACAAUGCGACAACGGCACCUCCGCUCUGGCAUUGCGCGACGUUGAGCAACGUCGCACCGAGGGCCACCACCGCCACCACACACACCGCCCAGCUACAGCCACAGCCACAGAUGGAAAGGUAUAACCAACAGCCUGCCGCUCUCACUCCAAAGAACAACUCCCAGAAAUCUACAUUCAAACGAUUUCAUUCAUUAUAUUUUAUAUAAUUUAUAUUUUCCUCCUCGUACAUCGUUUCCAUCCUUGUAUAUAAGCUUCUGUCCGUUGCCGGAUCAUAAUAAUAAAAACCAACCUCUGCAACCAUUAAUUAACAACUCCCCGCCACCUGUAAACUCCGUCCCGAGCGGAGCGACGAGCCGAUCAAUACCUUUUCCUCGAAGUGUGAAGAUUCCAGAGAGAUUCGUUGCUUUUACGGCAGUGCCGUACCGUACACGUCACCACAUCAAACAUGCUGCGUGAUUCCUGCUUGCUGGAUCUGGACCUGAAUCUGGAAUCUACGUAGCCUGACUCACCUUUUUGAGUUUUAAACACACAUCGCCUGGAUCUGGAUUUCGAUCUGGAACUGAAUCCUGCCAGGACGCACCCGUACACAAUCUUUGCCUGUCUUCCCCGCCCAUCUCCGCCCAUCGGCGCGCAGAUUUAUACCACAGAUAAACUACUGUUCACAUAAUCUCUAUAUAUAGUAUAGCCGUUUUGGUGAUGUGUACGUCGUUGUACGUCGGCGGCGGGCCAGAUGGGCCCCCUAGGGAUUCGUUCCGUCGUAUGUCUGUCUGUCUGUCUGUCUGUCUUACGCACUGCUGGCCCCGGCUCCGUGACCUUGCGUCGACGGCAGCAUACUCGACCCCGUGAAGGAGUCCCCUGCUGCUCCUGUCGCUAGAGAGCCCAGCUCUGGAGGGGGAGGAGGAGGGGGAGGAGCAGGAGGCGGAGGAGGACCAGGACCAGGAGCAGGAGCACGUUGCAAGACCGGACUGAUGAGAGCCGCCGGCAUGCGCUGCGCCGGAUGCGGUGGCGGCGGCGGCGGCGGCGGUGGCAACAUCAACGGUGAUGACGGCGGCGUCGCCACCGGCACUGCCGUCGCGACGGCGGCCAUGAGGCGCUCCAGGUGCGCCUCCACAAGGAUCGCUGGCGGCCUGUUUUGGGGCUGACGUUGCAAGCAAUGAAGCGCCACUGCCCGGUAGGUCUCCGGGCACGAGGGUGGGAAGGCGGGGAAGAUGCUGCUAUAGCGGGGGCCUUGGUCGGUGCGGAUGCCGGCGCGGCGGCCGUGGUAGAGCUCCCAUAGCAUCACACCCAGCGAGAACACUUGNNNNNNNNNNNNNNNNNNNNNNNNNNNNNNNNNNNNNNNNNNNNNNNNNNAGCCUCAUUCAGCCCCCCAUCCUGAGUGUACGGCACUUGUGCCGGCGACAACACACAAUGCGACAACGGCACCUCCGCUCUGGCAUUGCGCGACGUUGAGCAACGUCGCACCGAGGGCCACCACCGCCACCACACACACCGCCCAGCCACAGCUACAGCCACAGCCACAGAUGGAAAGGUAUAACCAACAGCCUGCCGCUCUCACUCCAAAGAACAACUCCCAGAAAUCUAUAUUCAAACGAUUUCAUUCAUUAUAUUUUAUAUAAUUUAUAUUUUCCUCCUCGUACAUCGUUUCCAUCCUUGUAUAUAAGCUUCUGUCCGUUGCCGGAUAAUAAUAAUAAAAACCAACCUCUGCAACCAUU